CCUACGGGGGGCAGCAGUGGGGAAUAUUGGGCAAUGGGCGCAAGCCUGACCCAGCAACGCCGCGUGAAGGAAGAAGGCUUUCGGGUUGUAAACUUCUUUUGUCAGGGACGAAGCAAGUGACGGUACCUGACGAAUAAGCCCCGGCUAACUACGUGCCAGCAGCCGCGGUAAUACGUAGGGGGCAAGCGUUAUCCGGAUUCACUGGGCGUAAAGGGAGCGCAGGCGGCACGGCAAGUCUGAUGUGAAAACCCGGGGCUCAACCCCGGGACUGCAUGGGAAACUGCCGGGCUGGAGUGUCGGAAGGG
rnacentral:rRNA from 1 species